rnacentral:rRNA from 1 species
UACGUAGGGUGCAAGCGUUGUCCGGAAUUAUUGGGCGUAAAGAGCUCGUAGGCGGUUUGUCGCGUCUGCUGUGAAAACGCGAGGCUCAACCUCGCGCCUGCAGUGGGUACGGGCAGACUAGAGUGUGGUAGGGGAGACUGGAAUUCCCAGUGUAGCGGUGAAAUGCGUAGAUAUUGGGAGGAACACCAGUGGCGAAGGCGGCAUCCUGGACCAAUUCUGACGCUGAGGAGCGAAAGCCAGGGGAGCAAACGGG